ensembl:lncRNA
UGAAUCAGUAUUCUGAUCUUCCUGUGCAGCAAGUCAUGAUGACUGAUCUAUUUCUACAGUUGCUAAUUAUAUUAUGUUAAAAAAUACUUGAUGUUCAAGUGACUUUUAUGCAAAAAUGCUGUGAGGUUGAAAUUUAAGGAAGACUUGCCAGGAGGGUACUACUGAAAUACUUUGCUUUGAGUCAGUUUUAUCGAUUUCAAAACAGUUUGUUGAGCUGGGUUGCUGUGUGUUACUUAAUAUUGAGUCUGAGCCAUUUGUGUGAACUGCUGUGAUAUUUUUGGGACAGGAAACAUUUUAUCCUGAUUAUUUCUCACAGCCACUCCCAUCUCUGCAUUAUCUAACCAAGGGUGUGUUGCAAUUUCUCCUCUUACCUACUGUAGUGCUGGAUCAUGGGAAAAAGCUUGGGCAGAGGCUCACUUUAGACAGAUGAGACAAACUGAAGGCAAACUGGGUCAGAUCAAAAUACUUUGCCUUGAUUCAGCUCACAGAAAUUAAGUGUUUCAAUUCAGAAAUACCAAACCACUUCAUUUUUAAAUCAAAAGUGUGGAAAUAACAUAUUUAGCACUUGCUAAUGUCAUACUUUGAAGGCAGGGAUGUGAAUUUCUCUUAGGUGAUAAAGAAAUAGGGCUCUAUCACCGUGCAACCUUCGCCAGCCUGGUGAGAAAAGGACUUCAUGUUCAGUUUGAAAGAGGUCUGUGCAAAGGUUUAAAAGAGUGAAUAUUACAGCAGCAUCUUUGGAAGUUUAAGAAGACAACAUCAAUACAAAUAUGGGAAAACGACCAGACAUUGUAGCAAUGGAGUAAAAUUAAGUAUUUCAUAGCUACGUUAGAAAUUUGCUGGGAUCAGUCGCAGGACUGGAGCAUUCAUACAGCUCAUUCUGUACAGACAGGCUUGGAGAAAUGGAGAAGUGUUGUCCAUGCUUGUCCUGAAGUUGGGGAAUAAUGAAGGACAGACUUGCCUGGGAGAGGAUAGAAAGAGAAAAAGCAGAGCCUCUUUGACAGAAGUACGGAUAGAGUUGACUACAUGGAUUUGCAACCAGCAGCUCAGCAGCUGCUUCAUGAACCAUCCUUCCAGGAGGGGAACAUCACAAAGAUGGGCGAGUUAG